rnacentral:rRNA from 1 species
UACGGAGGGUGCGAGCGUUGUCCGGAUUUAUUGGGUUUAAAGGGUGCGUAGGUGGCUGAUUAAGUCAGUGGUGAAAUACAGCCGCUCAACGGUUGAGGUGCCAUUGAUACUGAAUAGCUUGAAAGAAUUGGAGGCUGCCGGAAUGGAUGGUGUAGCGGUGAAAUGCAUAGAUAUCAUCCAGAACACCGAUUGCGAAGGCAGGUGGCUACGAUUUAUUUGACACUGAGGCACGAAAGCAUGGGGAGCAAACAGG